rnacentral:misc_RNA from 1 species
GCUUCCAUCUUCCAAAUAGUAACCAAAUCGGCGUAUCCGUUUUCCAUCUCCGCCGCUGCCGUCGCCGUCGCCGCCAAGAUGAAGAUUGCUCAAGGUGUCUUAAGGACUGCCAAUGCUUGCCUAUCUCGUUAUUCUUCUCAUCAUCGGACUUUUUCUGCGCUUCCGAAUUUUGCCCCUGAUGAUAAGCAAAGCACCAACUCGUUUGAGUCUGCUGAGGACUUUGAAAGACGAAUUUUUGGUGAUAGUGCGGGUAACAGGCCAAGUCCAAACUCCUUUUUCAGAAAGCUUGAUGACGCUGAAAAGUCUUAUGAUAGAUCUGGUCUGGGCUCCACAUUUAGUUCUGGAAACAGAUCUAGUAUCCUUGAUGGUCUAGAUGAGAGUUUUAAUACAUUAUCAGAUGGGAUGGAUGGUAAGCUGAAGGAAGCAGCCAGCUAUUUUCAGGUGGAUCCUGAAGAAGUAGGAAAAGAAGAUUAUGCUUACAGAGCAGAUAUGACCUUUUGGCCCGGAAACACUUAUGAACUCAAGGAUCUUGAUCUUAGAAAACCAGGAGUUCGCAGGCCCCCAAAAAGGGAUGAAUUUGAAACUACGACAGAGGAAGUUUUGCGCAAAGCUGAUUUCAGGAAUGUGAGAUUCCUAGCUAACUUCAUCACGGAGGCUGGAAUUCUCCACAAGAGGAGCAAGACUGGAAUUAGUGCCAAGGCCCAAAGAAAGAUCGCCAGGGAGAUAAAAACUGCCAGAGCUUUUGGUCUGAUGCCUUUUACAACAAUGGGAACAAAACACUUUGUAUUUGGCAGAACCAUGGAGGACCUUGAUGCAGAUUAUGAAUAUGAGAUGUAUGACCCAAAUUUUGUCGAUUCAGAAGCUGGCCGGGAACCUUUUUAAUCAUAAAAAGGAUACUACUAGUUACUAUUUGUUUUUCUUAUCCUCUGUUUGUCCUUGAGAACAUGUAUUCCAGUUAUUGCUAAGGGCUGAUUUUGCAGAUGAGGGAUUAGCAUACUAACUCGUUUUCAUCCAAUGAAAAGAUGUUCUCG